UUUAAUUGAAGAGUUUGAUCAUGGCUCAGAUUGAACGCUGGCGGCAGGCCUAACACAUGCAAGUCGAGCGGCAGCACAAGUAAGUUU
rnacentral:rRNA from 1 species